rnacentral:lncRNA from 1 species
CUUCAACUGUCAGAUACUAACGCAAUCACCUUACCAUCCUGCAUCAAAACUACACCAAGACUAAUGCAUAAAGCGUCAUAAUACAUAGUAUAAGGCCGUGAACCUGUGUUCAAAACUAGUGUCACACCUUCUUUUUCUACCUAAAAGGGGAUAUAAAAUUCCAAUUGAAGUAGCAAUAACUGAAACGAGAUUAUUUAUUCAAAUUCACAUUUGCCACUUGGAAUUAUUUAUGGUGUCCAAAGUCACCAGUUUGAAAUCCCAAAUCGAGGAAGUUUGACUCUGUUUUACAGUCCGCGAACACAGAAAUCCGAGUAAGGAAUUCUGUUAAUCAUGGAGAAGGUGUUAGGCAUUCUCGAGUUCUAUGAUUUUAUCACGGUCGCUUUAAUCAUACCUAGCUUAAUUAAAUUGUUUAAUUACGUGUUAGAACCUAUAUGCAUUUAUCCUUUUAACCGUUUUUAAAUACUUGAUUAUUCGUAAUUAUAGAAUUAUCUUGAAACUGAGUUACGCGUACAUUUACUCUUUUUGUUUGGUGCAUCAUGUCACGCGUAUAUGUCCACAAUUAAUCACGCUUUAUUAAUACUAAGAUCGAAGUUGCGAGAAUGCAUACCUCGAUUUAUUUUUAAAAGAAUCAUAAUUAUAUCACGUGAAAGUGUACAUAAUCAUGAUGAUAAUUGAUUUAUUAGUAAGUGCCUAAAGCAUAUUAACAAUGUUUAAGUAAUUAUUUGCUACGAUUGGAAUAAUGUGAAGACCAUAGGUUGGAUAUGAAAGUUGUGGAAGAAAUUGCCUAACUUUAUUAUUGACAUUUGGCCGAAGUAGUAACUAAAGAACAUGUAUCCUAUGAGUCUACAAAAGUGGACCAGCUAUUUUAUGAGAUGGCCAGUAAGAUUCCACUCAUCCAAGCCCAAUGGUUCUUAAAUGCUUAAACCAAUAGACGACCCUCUUUUGUGUUUUCAAGAAUGAUCCCCACAUCCCAAACCAUUUUUAAAUCUAAUUAAAUAUACAAUUCAAUUUAAACACUGAAAUAUCUAAUGAUUACCCAAAUGAAACAAUAGACAAACAUGAGCCAUACAUUAAGCAAAGAUAAUAAAUCACGCAAGACAUGAACAUCCAUAGUGAAGCAUAAUAUGCAUUGGAAUCGGAACAGUAGAGGAAAAGGAAUAGACCUUUAUGAAAUUUGUUUGUUUUGUGUACAUCAAAAGGACUUUCAUAUCCUUCUUUAUACAUAAAGAAUAGUCAAUCCAUCGAACAAAAUGAAAUCCAGUGACAGCAUGAAGAAGCGAACAAAAACUCGACCCGACAACCCCAACUAGGACCUCAACAACCUCGACUCAAACGAGUUCAUUUUUACUGUUGUUUUUUCUAAGAAAACGAACUCCUUCAAGGUGUUUUUGAGGGUAUUUUGGUAAGUUAGAGGUGCAUUUUUGGAGCUGAUUUUCGAUGGGGUAAUGGUGCUAUUUUUCGCUGCGUUUCUGAAGCUAUUCCGAAGUUAUUUGAUGGUUGUUCGACAGCAGCAGCGCAGCUGUUUUGGAGCUAGUUUUUACAGUGUUUUCAACUGGGAUUCCAUGCUAUUUAUGGAUGAAGAAAGAGUUAUUUUUUAUUGCCUCAAUAGCUGAGAGCUGUUGUUAUUUUUGGUUGAGGAAGAAGCUCUGUUUCGCUGGUUUUUAUGGAGUUUCAAGGCUCUUUGGUGGAGUUUUCCGGCGGGUUUCUGCGGUGAAUGAAGAUGAGAGCUUCCACUAGUUUUUUAAAGUGGAAGCGGACUGUUUUGUUGGUGUUUUGUAAAGCUACUGGGGCUGUGUUUUCAUGGCAGUUUAAGGUGUAGGAAAAAGGUGAAGAAGAACAACAACAACAACAAGAAUUCCGUGAUUUUAUGCUAGCUCCCCCCUCCCUCCCUCCCUCCCUCCCUAUCUCUCUCUCUGUGUCUCUCUAUUUUUUUGCUCAUCCCUUUUCAUUUCUUUUGUCUCGUUUUCUGCCCAGAAAUCCCAGUUUUUUGCUCUCUCCAUUCUCUAUAGGUGUCUUUUUAUUGUGUAUCUAUCCCCCUCUCCAAGAAAAGUGCAGGUGUAAUUAAAAGGUGGGGGGGCCUUAAG